rnacentral:rRNA from 1 species
GUAAUAACACCGCAGGAAAUUUUAUUUUAGUGAGGAUGAGGGAUCCCCCCUAGAGUAACAAGGAGCAAGUUGGGCCAGCAGCGCGGUAAUCCAGCUCCAAUAGGUAUAUAAGUUGUGCAGUAAAAAGUGUAGUGGAUAUCUGGGAAAAUAUCCGCCCUUUAGGAGGGGUGUACUGAGAUUUGGCAUGAUUAUCUUCCCACUAAUAAUAUUAUAUAUUAGGUGAUUUAAUAUGGUAAUAAUUAUUUUUGGGAAGAGUUACUUGAAAAAUAAGUGUUGAAGAGGCUUGUUGCUAUACUGCGCAUGAUAACAAUAURGAUGUCUAUUUUGUUGGUUCUAGACUGAAUAAUGAUAAUAGGGAUGGGGGUUCUUUCUGGAGGGUUCUUAAUUUUUAAAGACGAACUACUGCUGAAGCAUUUCAAGAUGUUCUUAUCAASAAAAUAGGGGUCGAGAGAUCAAUACCGCGUAGUCUUCUUCAUAAUCUAUGACGACUACAAAUGAGAAGAUGACGCUGCUGACUUCUUCUGCU